rnacentral:lncRNA from 1 species
GGGUUAUCCAAGGAAUGGCAGAGGUAACAGCAAGAAGAAGGAAGCUGGUGGUUUUGCUCCCAGGUCAUAUAUGAAUCCAAAUAAUAUUUGUGUAGAGAACACAUGAAAAAAAAUCUCAGAAGAGAUAGAUCUUUGAAGGCAUAAAAGAUUCAAAGGAAAUAUAAAUCCCAUGCUUUAAUGUAUAUAUAUGCACAAAGGUAUAGAUAUGAAUAAGAACAUAGGUAUAUACAUAUAUAAUCUUGUGGCUCCGAGUCUGCUCUUCGGGUUUCUUUAUGUAUAGCAAAGGCAAAAAGGUAAGACACUUCACCAAGCACUUCAGAAUACUCUAGUGUAGGAAUCCAAAAGUGGAAAAAGGUUAAAGUCUGUUUCAUGUGGGAGGAGUUUACCAAUGGGUUAUGUGAUUGCCACUUAAAAAAUCUUUUAAUGAUCUUUUUAAACAGCUUCCCCAUUUGCAAAAAUGUAUUGGGAAACAUAAAUACAAAAAGUGCCCUAAAUGCUGGUUAUUAUUCUGUUGCUGUUGUUGCUGAAGUAUGAUUUUUUUCUUUGCAUUUCUCAAUCAUCCACUGAUUCUUUGAGGAUUUCAAAUGGAAGGAUGAGCAAGUAGUGAUCUUCAAAUAAAAUUAAUGGAUGACUUGAUGGUUUUACUUGAUACGUCACAUUUUAUGCCUGUUGCACACCUGUGACAUUGCUGCCAAUGUCUGUGGUCAGCAGCAGCACAUUAAUUGCGUGAGAUGUAAAUAAAUACUGCAAUACAUGCCUUGUUUCUCUUGUAGCCAUCCCAAACAUUAGCUUUGGGAGGAAGGGUAAAACAGACAUUUUCCAUUCUCUAGGAAGAAUGUGAAGGGUUACAGGAAAGAUAAAGGCACAGCAGCAUGAAAGCUGCAAUCAGAAGAGAUGAGAGCACCUGGGGGGGAUGUAUUACACCUGGGAAUCCCUCUCCCAGGGAAAGGCUUCUCUCUAUAUGGAUUGUAAAGUAUUCUACCUUCAGGAAGACUGAUUCUACUAAAGGGCAGAAAACAGUUACGGAGAAGGAAUAUAACACAUUAAAAAGCUAG